ACCACUCUGGUCACUCUGGAUAUCUAACUUCGAACCGUAAUCCGGUUCAGGGACAGUGCCUGGUGGGUAGUUUAACUGGGGCGGUUGCCUCCCAAAAAGUAACGGAGGCGCCCAAAGGUUCCCUCAACCUGGUUGGCAAUCAGGUGUCGAGUGUAAGUGCACAAGGGAGCUUGACUGUGAGACUGACAGGUCGAGCAGGGACGAAAGUCGGGACUAGUGAUCCGGCAGUGGCUUGUGGAAGCGCUGUCGCUCAACGGAUAAAAGGUACCUCGGGGAUAACAGGCUGAUCUUGCCCAAGAGUCCAUAUCGACGGCAUGGUUUGGCACCUCGAUGUCGGCUCGUCGCAUCCUG
rnacentral:rRNA from 1 species